rnacentral:rRNA from 1 species
AUUCCAGACUCCUACGGGAGGCAGCAGUGGGGGAUAUUGCACAAUGGGGGAAACCCUAAUGCAGCGACGCCGCGUGGGUGACGAAGUAUUUCGGUAUGUAAAGCCCUAUCAGCAGGGAAGAAGAUGACAGUACCUGACUAAGAAGCCCCGGCUAACUACGUGCCAGCAGCCGCGGUAAUACGUAGGGGGCAAGCGUUAUCCGGAUUUACUGGGUGUAAAGGGGGCGCAGACGGCGAUGCAAGCCAGGAGUGAAAGCCCGGGGCCCAACCCCGGGACUGCUCUUGGAACUGCGUGGCUGGAGUGCAGGAGGGGCAGGCGGAAUUCCUGGUGUAGCGGUGAAAUGCGUAGAUAUCAGGAGGAACACCGGUGGCGAAGGCGGCCUGCUGGACUGCAACUGACGUUGAGGCCCGAAAGCGUGGGGAGCAAACAGGAUUAGAUACCCUAGUAAA